rnacentral:rRNA from 1 species
UGGGGAAUAUUGGACAAUGGGGGCAACCCUGAUCCAGCCAUGCCGCGUGAGUGAUGAAGGCCUUCGGGUUGUAAAGCUCUUUUGGCGGGGACGAUGAUGACGGUACCCGCAGAAUAAGCCCCGGCUAACUUCGUGCCAGCAGCCGCGGUAAGACGAAGGGGGCUAGCGUUGUUCGGAAUUACUGGGCGUAAAGCGAGUGUAGGCGGUUGCCGUAGUCAGGUGUGAAAGCCUUGAGCUCAACUCAAGAAAUGCACUUGAUACUGGGUGACUAGAGGACCGGAGAGGAUAGUGGAAUUCCCAGUGUAGUGGUGAAAUACGUAGAGAUUGGGAAGAACACCAGUGGCGAAGGCGGCUAUCUGGACGGUUACUGACGCUAAGACUCGAAAGCGUGGGGAGCAAAACAGGAUUAGAUACCCUGGUAGUCCACGCCGUAAACGAUGGGUGCUAGACGUUGGCGAGCCUGCUCGUCAGUGUCGCAGCUAACGCGUUAAGCA